rnacentral:rRNA from 1 species
AACGAACGCUGGCGGCAGGCCUAACACAUGCAAGUCGAACGCCCCGCAAGGGGAGUGGCAGACGGGUGAGUAACACGUGGGAACCUUCCCAACAGUACGGAAUAGCCCAGGGAAACUUGGAGUAAUACCGUAUAUUCCCGAGAGGGGAAAGAUUUAUCGCUGUUGGAUGGGCCCGCGUCGGAUUAGCUAGUUGGUGAGGUAACGGCUCACCAAGGCGACGAUCCGUAGCUGGUUUGAGAGAAUGACCAGCCACACUGGGACUGAGACACGGCCCAGACUCCUACGGGAGGCAGCAGUGGGGAAUCUUGGACAAUGGGCGCAAGCCUGAUCCAGCCAUGCCGCGUGAGUGACGAAGGCCUUAGGGUUGUAAAGCUCUUUUGCCGGGGACGAUAAUGACGGUACCCGGAGAAUAAGUCCCGGCUAACUUCGUGCCAGCCGCCGCGGUAAGAC